AUGGCAGUGUUGGCAAAGAGAGCAUGAUCGAGGUCAAAUGGAGAAGUCUUUGAGUAUAUAUUGAACCAGUACAAGUCAAUUGCUCUUUUCCAGUACACGGAGCCCUACUACUGAGGAAAACGAUGCUCUCUUGCCCUCCACCGUCCUUAGUGAGGUGAAAUCUGGAUGAAUUUUCUGCUCUGGGAUCACCUCAAAAUGACAAUAUUAAAAGAUCUGACAGGUUGCAGAGGAGAAGGGUGACAAGAAACGUUGGCAGAUGGCCAAGCCACCAGCAUAUUCAGCAUCAUUGGCCUGUACUGCCGUUUCCUUAGAGAACUUAAUUCUGGAUUAAAAACUUGGAAAGAUGGAAGAUAUCCACUGCAAUCAACUAGAGACUAUCCUUACAAUACCUUUCCUUCUCAAUACAGCAUUAUGUAAUUAAAAUUGAAUUUAGUUAUAUGUGAUGUAAUCACUUUAAAAUAUUCACGUAUAUGAAAAAUUACCAACUAUAAUUUUUAUGUCAUUGUUAUGAAUUGCUCUAUGUCCAUAGAUUUAUCAUUUCCAUUUAUAGUUAUUUUUUACAAUCAAGGCUCUCCACUCUAUAGCAUGCAGCUGACACUAAUCAUUUCUCCCUUGAAUCUUGUCUAAUUUGUAAAAUUUUAAGGACUGUCUACCACAAGACUUUUAAUAAAAUGUCUGUCUGCAGUGAAACCAGUAGGUGCUCCAUGCGGUGAGUUUUUGGCUUCAGCAACUG